rnacentral:rRNA from 1 species
AUACCCGNGUAGUNCUAGCCGUAAAGGAUACUCCCUAGGUGUCGGCCACGGUGCGACCGUUGUCGGUGCAGUAGGGAAGCCGUGAAGCGAGCCACCUGGGAAGUACGGCCGCAAGGCUGAAACUUAAAGGAAUUGGCGGGGGAGCACCACAACGGGUGGAGCUUGCGGUUUAAUUGGAUUCAACGCCGGAAAUCUUACCGGGACCGACAGCAAUAUGAAGGCCAGGCUGAAGACUUUGCCGGAUUAGCUGAGAGGUGGUGCAUGGCCGUCGUCAGUUCGUACUGUGAAGCAUCCUGUUAAGUCAGGCAACGAGCGAGACCCACGCCCACAGUUGCCAGCGUACUCUCCGGAGUGACGGGUACACUGUGGGGACCGCCGCUGCUAAAGCGGAGGAAGGAAUGGGCAACGGUAGGUCAGUAUGCCCCGAAUAUCCCGGGCUACACGCGAGCUACAAUGGUUGGUACAAUGGGUAUCUACCCCAAAAGGGGAUGGAAAUCUCCUAAAGCCAAUCUUAGUUCGGAUUGAGGGCUGCAACUCGCCCUCAUGAAGCUGGAAUCCGUAGUAAUCGC